AUACGGAGGGGGCUAGCGUUGUUCGGAAUUACUGGGCGUAAAGCGCACGUAGGCGGACUGGAAAGUUGGGGGUGAAAUCCCGGGGCUCAACCCCGGAACUGCCUCCAAAACUUCCAAUCUAGAGAUCGAGAGAGGUGAGUGGAAUUCCAAGUGUAGAGGUGAAAUUCGUAGAUAUUUGGAGGAACACCGGUGGCGAAGGCGGCUCACUGGCUCGAUACUGACGCUGAGGUGCGAAAGCGUGGGGAGCAAACAGGAUUAGAAACCCGAGUAGUCC
rnacentral:rRNA from 1 species